rnacentral:tRNA from 1 species
GCCUUCGUGGUGUUAUGGUCAGCACAUUUGGCGCGUAUUCAAGAGGUCCGAGGUUCGAAUCCCGGCUAGGACA